rnacentral:rRNA from 1 species
AUCUCCCGAUCUCGAAACAGAGGAAGGAAGCCCAGGUUGUUGACCUCCCCAUGACGCUGUAGAGAGGAGGUGCAUGGCCGCCGUCAGCUCGUACCGUGAGGGGUCCUGUUAAGUCAGGCAACGAGCGAGACCCGCACCCCUAAUUGCCAGCAACAAUUUCGAUUGGUUGGGUACAUUAGGAGGACUGCCAGUGUUAAACUGGAGGAAGGAACGGGCAACGGUAGGUCAGUAUGCCCCGAAUGAGCUGGGCAACACGCGGGCUACAAUGGCUAAGACAAUGGGUCGCUAUCUCGACAGAGAACGCUAAUCUCGAAACUUAGUCGUAGUUCGGAUUGAGGGCUGAAACUCGCCCUCAUGAAGCUGGAUUCGGUAGUAGCCGCCUUUCAGUAGAAGGCGACGAAUACGUCCCUGCUCCUUGCACACACCGCCCGUC